ACCGCCGCCAAUCUCUAUAUGUAUAUACGUAUGUACACGUCUGUAUGUACCAGCUGUCUGCUAGUGGAUGUAAUACUUUGCCAAGUGGGGGUGAAGAUGAAACGGUAGUGGAGGUAAACGGUGACACUACUCCGUGUCCCCUUUUAUUCCUCUGUCUUUCGUCAGUUACAAUUCUCUUUCCCAUUAUUCUGCUUCACGAUUAUUUAUCUGUUUGCCAGAAUCAUGCCCCAAACUCCGAAGCUCCCGAUGCAUCAAUUAAGUCGAGACGAAGGAAGUUGAUAAAAUAGAAUUCUCGUCGGAGCGUCGAGCGUUCGAAAUCGUGAGGUUCAUACGAAACUCUAUUCUCCUUUGAAACCUACAAGAAAUUAAGAACCGAACGAUACCUAUCACAGAUUCAACUUGCCUUUACGCUUUUCAAAUGAAAAUCGUUGUACGGAAUGGAAAAUCUCUGUCUGAGGAUACCGUAAAUAAGAGUCGUGGCUCAGGAUGUCCUAACGUUCGUUCGAUCGACGUUUGCGCCGUGGCCGAUCGAUGGGGACGUCGGUGAUCGGUGUCGAUACGCGACCAAGUAGUCCGGGUCAAAAGACAAAUAGAAAUUGCGGAUUGAACGCGGGUUGAACGGUCACGUGGAUCGCACGUGGGUUUCAUUCAUGAAGGUCCCGGAGGUGGCGGCGUCAGCUGUGGUAACGGUAGUGGUAAAUAGCGGCCGGUGGUGGUAGGUAAUGGCAAGUAGUGGCAGACACAUAGUGGUAGUGUAGUGAUUUCGGUUUCGGUACGGUGGUGAUGACUGAGUCGCUAGCUAGGUUUGUGGUCGUAAGUAACGCCGCUAUCCACGCGAGCCUUACCCAUUGUCACGGCUCUUCGACCAUCGCGUGAACCGCCGUUGUCACGCGCUUAGCUUCCUAGGAAAUGGGUGUCAUAAAUAGACAGCGGAUUUUUAUUCGAUGUAAGACAGUCACUUAAGAGAAUGUCGAUUGCAAUCAACUUUAUCAUCUAAGGAUCGCAAUCUACAUUCGCUGUUUAUAUUUUGUACACUGCGUCACAUGCAGCGUUCGUACUUCCGGUUGUUUUAUAAAUGCAUAAAAUCCGCAGUCGUGGAACAACAGCGAGGGGCUAUGUAUUACUUGAGAUUCUGUGUACACGUGUAGAUUGAAACAACAAAGUACGCCUGAUUUUGUCAAUGCUCAAUUACUAUCUUCGGGUCUUGUCCCAAGCUGUAAAUAUUUUCAUACGCGUGUGAUAUCGCAUUGAAAUAUCUUUCUUUAUGUACACAGAUUCGAUGCUUCUUCGAUGUAUCAUCUACUGUUUCGUAGAAGCACCUACGUAAUGAUGCUUAUCCAAAUGAUGAUGCACGUAUCGGUGCUCUUUGACGUUAAGCAGUACCAGAGCUUAGCAUCGAUCGCAUCGAUUCGAUACCGAAGUCGCUGGGUAACCACGGGAUCCACGGCAGAGCGUUUUGGCACGGGCCGGUCCUCCGUCUCCUCUUCCACCGGACGGAUGCGAAAAUUUCUCUAUGCUCCUCCUCGUCCAGCUGCACGUGGUAAUCAUGAUACAGAGAAUCCGGUGUCGGACACGCUCCUCCUUAUUAAUCAUCAAUCAUCAGACAUGUAUUAUUAUAACUUUGUACCCGCCCGAUCCGAUCGUCGACGAACGUUCCUUUUACUCGCGAUUCUAUCUACGUCGGAAUAUAAAACAACUCCGAUGAAAAUAUUCGCGGCGAAACGAUCGCCGAUAAUUUCAAGGUACUCGACAAUUAUGAAACUGUUACCGCCUAUACGUUACACCUGUAUUGGAAACAUCGAGCGUUUACGAGACCGGUUACACGCGAUUGAUAUACGGCUGUUAUUCUUUAAUUCCAAGCCGCUUUUGCGCGUGAUUUUCAUACGUCCCGUUUUAACUCGUUUAAUAAAUAAUAUUCCACGUACGUGUAUCUACGUUUUACGUAAUAUGCAUAUACGGGGCGCGCUUCAUCGAAGCGUUCGCCGAAGCGAAACGAAGUGUACAGUUAAAUCGAGCAUCGUCUAAUCUCUUAAAAGAAAUUUCGCAUCAAUCACCUCCGCGUACAAAGAGUUUUCCUUUCGGUCGACUGGUUCGCCAGCGACAAAAUGAUCGCGAUUAACGUCGCGCGAUCCACUCUGCCGUUCAAAAAAAUCGCUCCUCUUCAAAAUUUGUCUUCGCCGUCUAUCCAUCCAAAUCCGAAGUACGCCGAUCUCAUCGAUCUUCCAUCAGCCAGGCGUGAAGAGAAGAGAUUCGGGUCAACUCGAAAAUCGAAGGGGACGAGUGUCUCCGGAGGAGCAAAGGUCAGUCGAGCACGGAAGGGAAAAAAGACGUUGGGUGCACUCGAGAAGGGUGUUGCACGCGUAAGGAAGAAACAGGACGGGUAUAAAUACGAAUAGAAAGAAAAAGAAGCGAGGUGGAGGUCUGCUCGCCAGCUGACAGUCUCGUGCCGCAACCUGAAACUCUUUUCGAAGAUUCGGUUGCUGCCACGACCUCGCCGUGUACGUAUACGUAUUUUCAUAUCGUCUCUGCCUGCUGGUUUUUGCGCUCCAUCGGCGAGGGACAUUCGAUCUCUCAUCGAUUCGGGUAUGCGCUGCGCUACUUCCAACCGACCGCCGAUGUUUAAUCGGUCGAUCGACCUUUGACGGUAAAUCGGAAUCCGAGAACCGAUAGCGCGAAGAAUGAACCAGCGACUUCGUUCCCGCGACGCGGUUCCUUCCUCCUCCCGCGCAAUAUUCCUCUCCGUCUUCGUCGCAUUCCCGUUGGUAUUGAUCCGUUGAGUUUUCGAAAGUAAAAUGGGUUAUACUGUUGAAUCGCAACGACAACUCCGGACAGCGUCGGAACAAAAACGAGGAAAACCGAAAGGAAGGGAACGAACCGAACCGGGGAUGGGAUCUCUGGGAGGACGCGUACGCUUGACGAACGCGUAAAUUCUGCCUCUGUGCAUCUACGUAUGCAUCUACGUGCAUGUAUCUUCGGUGUGGAAGUUUGCGCGAUGAAGAAAACGGACUUACAACGGGGAAGACGACCGAGUAGGAGCAGAUGAACGAGAGAGAUAGAGAGAGAGGAGGAGGUGAUGAGGGCGAGGGCGAUGGAAGAGACGGAGAGUUUGCAAAGUUUCGAGAUUCAAGAGCGAUGCUCUCAAUACGACAAGUUUGUGCAAACAACAGCUUCCAGAGAUGGAUAAUGUCGAGGAUAAAUCAAGGAAAUUUAAUAAAUUGACGUCGCGAGGUUCGUUUGAUCGUAUCCGCGUCCUUACAUCAGCUAUCCUUUCACACAGCGGACAGUUCUAUCGACAUAGACUUCGCCGUUCUUUCUUGUACGCAUGAAACUUUUCAGGAAAUCAUGUUCAUCGUCAGUUCUUUAUAUUUACAUCACACUGAUCGAUGAGUGCGAUAGCUGUAUAAGUCGGGACGUAAGAGAAAAUUGGAUAUUUACGGCACGACAAAGAGGCGAAACAAAAGAAUGGUUCGUUUCGAUUCGAAACUGUGUUAACGUUGAUGUACGUACGCGUAAACGUGCACGUACAACCUCCUCUCUUUCGUUCCUUCGAUCGUCCUCAUCCUAUUUUAGCACCCUUUUCGGGACUAGCUACCCAAGGGAAUCAAUAACCGAGGAGGAAGCGACCGUAGGAUUCGGGAACCAGCGCGGCGGCGGCGGCGGAAAGGCGCGGGACGGAAGAGCGAGGAGAACGCGAGGAAGCAAAGAGUAGCGUCGACGAGGGGCGUCGCGUUGAGUAGAAGAGCUCACCUCGGAGGGUGUCGGUGGGUGUCAGCGGGUAGGGUGCAACAGGGACCGCGAACUUUAGGGUGGAGGUAGGUGGCACGCGAGCUUGGCUCCGCCUCCGGCACGCGACCAGCACGCGACCGCUGCCAUCGACCACCACCGCCGCCGCCGCCGCCUACAACCACCUUCAACCACCGUCGCUAUUACCGCUACAGUUACCACUGUCCUUCUUUCAUCCCGACCACCUUCAUCCGCGAUUACGCAAUCCCUUACACUUCCUGCCUCUUUCUUCGAUGCUGCCUCUUAUCGUUUUCAAUCUUUAACCGCUCGAGUUCCGUAUAUCCCUUCUUUGUACACGCCAAUAGAAAUUU